rnacentral:pre_miRNA from 1 species
AUAUAUUUUUUCACUUAACCUAUGCCUCAACAGGGGGCACUUACUCUUUUCAAUAUUCCAGCAAGUGCUCCCGUUGGGGCAGUAGGUUGGUGA